rnacentral:rRNA from 1 species
UAGCAGCCGCGGUAAUACAGAGGUGGCAAACGUUGAUCGGAUUUACUGGGCGUAAAGGGUGCGUAGGCGGUCUGAUAUGUCGGAUGUGAAAGCCCACAGCUCAACUGCGGAACUGCAUUCGAAACUGUCAGACUAGAGUGCAUGAGGGGACAGUGGAAUUCCUGGUGUAGCGGUGAAAUGCGUUGAUAUCAGGAAGAACACCGGUGGCGAAGGCGACUGUCUGGAAUGCAACUGACGCUGAGGCACGAAAGCUAGGGGAGCGAACAGGAUUAGAUACCCUGGUAGUCCUAUGCUGUAAACGGUGUGAACUUGGUGCGGGGGGUAUUGACCCCCUCCGUGCCGGAGCUAACGCGCUAAGUUCACCGCCUGGGGAGUACGGCCGCAAGGUUAAAACUCAAAGAAAUUGACGGGGGCCCGCACAAGCGGAGGAGCAUGUGGCUUAAUUCGAUGCAACGCGAAGAACCUUACCAGGGCUCGACAUGGUCGUCCUUCGGGGCCGACCUGUGAAAGCAGGUCUAAGACACACAGGUGCUGCAUGGCUGUCGUCAGUUCGUGCCGUGAGGUGUUGGGUUAAGUCCCGCAACGAACGCAACCCCUAUGUUUAGUUGCCAUCAGGUAAUGCUGGGAACUCUAGACAGACUGCCUGUAUCAAGCAGGAGGAAGGUGGGGAUGACGUCAAGUCAGUAUGGCCCUUACGCCCUGGGCUGCACACGUGCUACAAUGGCCGGUACAGAAGGAAGCAACACCGCGAGGUUGAGCUAAUCCCCAAAGCCGGCCCCAGUUCGGAUUGGAGUCUGCAACUCGACUCCAUGAAGUUGGAUUCGCUAGUAAUGGCGCAUCAGCUACGGCGCCGUGAAUACGUUCCCGGGCCUUGUACACACCGCCCGUCACAUCAUGAAAGCCGUCUGCACCCGUAGUCGCUGUACCAACCCGCAAGGGAGGAAGGUGCCGAAGGUGUGGGUGGUGAUUGGGAUGAAGUCGUAACAAGGUAACCGUA